GAUGAACGCUAGCUACAGGCUUAACACAUGCAAGUCGAGGGGCAGCGCAGUGUAGCAACACACGGGCGGCGACCGGCGCACGGGUGCGUAACGCGUAUCCAACCUUCCCGUUACUCAGGGAUAGCCUUCCGAAAGGGAGAUUAAUACCUGAUGGUGUUCAAAUUCCGCAUGUUAUUUGAACUAAAGAUUCAUCGGUAACGGAUGGGGAUGCGUGACAUUAGAUAGUAGGCGGGGUAACGGCCCACCUAGUCUACGAUGUCUAGGGGUUCUGAGAGGAAGGUCCCCCGCACUGGAACUGGGACACGGUCCAGACUCCUACGGGAGGCGGCAGUGAGGAAUAUUGGUCAAUGGUCGGAAGACUGAACCAGCCAAGUAGCGUGAAGGAUGAAGGUUCUAUGGAUUGUAAACUUCUUUUAUACGGGAAUAAAACCUCCCACGUGUGGGGGCUUGUAUGUACCGUAUGAAUAAGCAUCGGCUAACUCCGUGCCAGCCGCCGCCGUAAAAC
rnacentral:rRNA from 1 species